ACUGAUCUGCAUGUGGAAUUUUCCUACGAAAAAGGUAGAAUCUUCAGAAGAGAGAAAAUGAGUAAAGAUGUAAGGAAAUGAGGCAAAGCAAUGGAAAAACAGCCUUGAGCAAGGUGCUACAAACACCCGUGCACCUCCAUGCUUGGGUUGCUCAGUAUUCUGGGUAACCCCUUCAUAGGAUUUGUACAAUUUCACAUAAGUAA
rnacentral:lncRNA from 1 species